rnacentral:rRNA from 1 species
GAUGAACGCUAGCGGCAGGCUUAACACAUGCAAGUCGAGGGGCAGCGUGGAGUAGCAAUACUCUGACGGCGACCGGCGAAAGGGUGAGUAACGCGUGAGCAACAUACCCGGUAGUGGAGGAUAGUCGAUGGAAACGUCGCGUAAUACUCCGUAACAACAGAGACCGCAUGAUCUUUGUUUAAUAGAUUUAUUGCUAUCGGAUUGGCUCGCGUACCAUUAGCUAGUUGGCGGGGUAACGGCCCACCAAGGCGACGAUGGUUAGGGGUUCUGAGAGGAAGGUCCCCCACAUUGGAACUGAGACACGGUCCAGACUCC